GGCCAGACUCCUACGGGAGGCAGCAGUGGGGAAUAUUGCGCAAUGGGCGAAAGCCUGACGCAGCGACGCCGCGUGAGGGAUGAAGGUCUUCGGAUCGUAAACCUCUGUCAGCAGGGAAGAACGGUCACUGUGCUAAUCAGCAGUGAAUUGACGGUACCUGAGUAAGAAGCCCCGGCUAACUACGUGCCAGCAGCCGCGGUAAUACGUAGGGGGCAAGCGUUAUCCGGAUUUACUGGGUGUAAAGGGAGCGUAGACGGCGAUGCAAGCCAGAUGUGAAAGCCCGCGGCUCAACUGCGGUAGUGCAUUUGGAACUGUAUGGCUGGAGUGCAGGAGAGGCAGGCGGAAUUCCUAGUGUAGCGGUGAAAUGCGUAGAUAUUAGGAGGAACACCAGUGGCGAAGGCGGCCUGCUGGACUGUAACUGACGUUGAGGCUCGAAAGCGUGGGGAGCAAGCAGGAUUAGAUACCCUUGUACG
rnacentral:rRNA from 1 species